CUACGGGCGGCUCCAGCAGGGAAUAUUGCACAAUGGACGGAAGUCUGAUGCAGCGACGCCGCGUGGAUGAUGAAGGCCCUCGGGUUGUAAAAUCCUUUUCAGGGGGACGAGGAAGGACGGUACCCUUGGAAUAAGCGUCGGCUAACUACGUGCCAGCAGCCGCGGUAAGACGUAGGACGCAAGCGUUAUCCGGAUUUACUGGGCGUAAAGCGUCUGUAGGCGGAAUGGUAAGUUGGACGUGAAAGCUCCGGGCUCAACCCGGAGAGGUCGUUCAAUACUGCCAAACUAGAGGGCAUCAGAGGAGCGUGGAAUUUCCGGUGUAGCGGUAAAAUGCGCAGAUAUCGGAAGGAACACCAAUGGCGAAGGCAGCGCUCUGGGAUGAACCUGACGCUAAGAGACGAAAGCUAGGGGAGCGAACAGGAUUAGAUACCCUAGUAGUC
rnacentral:rRNA from 1 species